CUUGCUCUCUGGGUGACGAGCGGCGGACGGGUGAGUAAUGUCUGGGAAACUGCCUGAUGGAGGGGGAUAACUACUGGAAACGGUAGCUAAUACCGCAUAACGUCUUCGGACCAAAGUGGGGGACCUUCGGGCCUCACGCCAUCAGAUGUGCCCAGAUGGGAUUAGCUAGUAGGUGGGGUAAUGGCUCACCUAGGCGACGAUCCCUAGCUGGUCUGAGAGGAUGACCAGCCACACUGGAACUGAGACACGGUCCAGACUCCUACGGGAGGCAGCAGUGGGGAAUAUUGCACAAUGGGCGCAAGCCUGAUGCAGCCAUGCCGCGUGUGUGAAGAAGGCCUUCGGGUUGUAAAGCACUUUCAGCGAGGAGGAAGGGUGGUGUGUUAAUAGCGCAUCACAUUGACGUUACUCGCAGAAGAAGCACCGGCUAACUCCGUGCCAGCAGCCGCGGUAAUACGGAGGGUGCAAGCGUUAAUCGGAAUUACUGGGCGUAAAGCGCACGCAGGCGGUUUGUUAAGUCAGAUGUGAAAUCCCCGCGCUUAACGUGGGAACUGCAUUUGAAACUGGCAAGCCUAGAGUCUUGUAGAGGGGGGUAGAAUUCCAGGUGUAGCGGUGAAAUGCGUAGAGAUCUGGAGGAAUACCGGUGGCGAAGCGGCCCCCUGGGACAAAGACUGACGCUCAGUGCGAAAGCGUGGGGGAGCAAACAGGAUUUAUAUACCC
rnacentral:rRNA from 1 species